GGGGCUCAAGUGAUAUUUGAUCAGUUCCUUAGCAGCGGUGAAUCAAAGUGGUUGCGUCAAACUGGGCUUGUUUUACUUCUUCCUCAUGGAUAUGAUGGUCAGGGUCCUGAACAUUCAAGUGCACGGUUGGAACGCUUCCUUCAGAUGAGUGAUGACAAUCCUUAUGUCAUUCCUGAAAUGGACCCAACUCUUAGGAAGCAAAUCCAGGAAUGUAAUUGGCAAGUCAUAAAUGUUACAACCCCUGCUAAUUACUUCCAUGUCUUGCGGCGUCAGCUACACAGGGGAUUCCGUAAGCCCCUUGUUGUGAUGGCUCCCAAAAACCUACUUCGCCACAAGGACUGCAAAUCAAAUCUGUCUGA
rnacentral:misc_RNA from 1 species